rnacentral:ncRNA from 1 species
AGUACUCUCUUUGGAAGACCCCCUUCAGGGGAGAUGUGUGGUACUUCUAUAAUUAAGAAGCUUAGAAUUUAGGCUUUUUAUAGCUUAAGGAGAGGGGUUUCUGUCACUUUGGGUAAGAUGAAGCUAACAAAAUAUAAAUUAAGAGUUAACUGUCUCUCCAAGAGACCUUGAUAACCUUGUGCCAGCAUCAGCGGCUAUACAAGGGAGUCAAAGCUAUACAAUUUACAUAGGGACGUUAGAAAGACUUACCUCAAAUUGCAUUUACGGGUAAAAUCCAAUAAAUUAAUACUUCUCUUUCCUAAAGAACGUAAGUUCACUUGUUAGACCGGGAUUAGAGACCCCGUUAUGAUGAAUGGUACCAAUUCCUGAGGAGAGAAAAUCAAAGAUUCUGGCUGUGUGAGAAAGUCUUUAGAGAAACUUGUCUAUUAAUCGACAAUCCACGAGAACCUUACUUGAGCUGGUAGUAACCAUCUUACAUACCGCCGUUUAGGAAGAGCAGAAGCUAUUACCUUAACAGAAUUCUUCUCUAAUAAUCCAGGUAAAGGUGUAGACAAUGCUCAAGGUUAGAUGAGUUGCAAUUAGGCUACUAUUGGAUAAAGAAUGAAAUUUCUUUAAUAAUUUGGAUUUGAAAGUAGUUACCCAUUAUCAUUGAGUAACGAAUAUCCCAUCUCACGAGUACAUAUCGCCCGUCACUCCCUCCUAAAAGAGGGAGAAGUCGUAACAUAGUGGGCCUACUGGAAGGUGGAUCUAAGAA